AUACAUUAGUACCGAGACACGGCCCGACCUCCUACGGGAUGCAGCAGUAGGGAAUCUUCCACAAUGGACGCAAGUCUGAUGGAGCAACGCCGCGUGAGUGAAGAAGGCUUUCGGGUCGUAAAACUCUGUUGUUGGAGAAGAAUGGUCGGCAGAGUAACUGUUGUCGGCGUGACGGUAUCCAACCAGAAAGCCACGGCUAACUACGUGCCAGCAGCCGCGGUAAUACGUAGGUGGCAAGCGUUAUCCGGAUUUAUUGGGCGUAAAGCGAGCGCAGGCGGUUUUUUAAGUCUGAUGUGAAAGCCCUCGGCUUAACCGAGGAAGCGCAUCGGAAACUGGGAAACUUGAGUGCAGAAGAGGACAGUGGAACUCCAUGUGUAGCGGUGAAAUGCGUAGAUAUAUGGAAGAACACCAGUGGCGAAGGCGGCUGUCUGGUCUGUAACUGACGCUGAGGCUCGAAAGCAUGGGUAGCGAACAGGAUUAGAUACCCCUGUAGUCCUUGCCGUACACGAUGGAUGCCAGCAGUGGAAGAGUA
rnacentral:rRNA from 1 species